UAAGUAGAAUGGAUAAUCACCUUUUCUUUAGAGACUAGGAGGAAAGUCCGGACUCCUUGAAGAAAUAGUAAUGGCUAACGGCCAUGGGGAGUGAUCCCACGGAAAGUGCAACAGAAAAUAAACCGCCCGUUUGGAAAUAUAUCCAUCUGGGUAAGGGUGAAAAGGCGAGGUAAGAGCUCACCAUGGGCGCAGCAAUGUGUCACAUUGGCAAACCCUACUAGGAGCAAUAUCAAAUUUGGCGCGUACGUAAAAAGUGCUUCUUCACACAAGGCGCCGUGGUAGAUAGCUUGAGGUCACAAGUAAUUGUGAUCCUAGAUUGAUGAUUAUCGUAAACAGAAUCCGGCUUAUAUUCUACUUACCUA
rnacentral:RNase_P_RNA from 1 species